CACGUAGGGCGCAAGCGUUGUCCGGAAUUAUUGGGCGUAAAGAGCUCGUAGGCGGUCUGUCGCGUCGGAUGUGAAAACCCAGGGCUCAACCCUGGGCCUGCAUUCGAUACGGGCAGACUAGAGUUCGGUAGGGGAGACUGGGAUUCCUGGUGUAGCGGUGAAAUGCGCAGAUAUCAGGAGGAACACCGGUGGCGAAGGCGGGUCUCUGGGCCGAAACUGACGCUGAGGAGCGAAAGCGUGGGGAGCAAACAGG
rnacentral:rRNA from 1 species